rnacentral:rRNA from 1 species
GACAGAGGGUGCAAACGUUGCUCGGAAUUACUGGGCGUAAAGCGCGUGUAGGCGGAUGGGCAAGUCAGGUGUGAAAUCCCCGAGCUCAACUUGGGAACUGCACUUGAAACUACCUGUCUUGAGUGAUGGAGAGGGCGGCGGAAUUCCUGGUGUAGAGGUGAAAUUCGUAGAUAUCAGGAGGAACACCGGUGGCGAAGGCGGCCGCCUGGACAUCUACUGACGCUGAGACGCGAAAGCGUGGGGAGCAAACAGG